GUAGGGCGGAUAGUUAAGCCAGAUGUGAAAUNCCCAGGGNCCCAACCCCGGGAANUGCGUCUGGAAACUGAUUAUCUAGAAUCACGGAGAGGGAAGGGGAAUUUCGCAUGUAGGGGUAAAAUCCGUAGAGAUGCGAAGGAACACCAGAGGCGAAGGCGCCUUCCUGGACGUGUAUUGACGCUAAGGCGCGAAAGCGUGGGUAGCAAACAGGAUUAGAUACCCUGGUAGUCCACGCCGUAAACGAUGAGCACUAGAUAUUGGGAUGAGACCGUUUCAGUAUCGUAGCUAACGCAUUAAGUGCUCCGCCUGGGGAGUACGGUCGCAAGACUAAAACUCAAAGGAAUUGACGGGGGCCCGCACAAGCGGUGGAUUAUGUGGUUUAAUUCGAAGCAACGCGCAGAACCUUACCUAGGCUUAAACUCCUGAGAAUUCCGAGUAAUGUUGGAAGUGCCCUUCGGGGAAUUCAGUGAGAGGCGCUGCAUGGCUGUCGUCAGCUCGUGUCGUGAGAUGUUGGGUUAAGUCUCGCAACGAGCGCAACCCCUAUUUUUAGUUGCCAGCAUUAAGUUGGGCACUCUAGAGAGACUGCCCGGGCCAACCGGGAGGAAGGUGGGGAUGACGUCAAGUCCUCAUGGCCCUUAUGUCUAGGGCUACACACGUAAUACAAUGGUUAAUACAAAGGGAUGCGAACUCGCGAGGGGGAGCAAAUCUCAAAAAGUUAAUCUCAGUCCGGAUUGGAGUCUGCAACUCGACUCCAUGAAGUUGGAAUCGCUAGUAAUCGUGGAUCAGCACGCCACGGUGAAUACGUUCCCGGGCCUUGUACACACCGCCCGUCACACCAUGGGAGUUGGUUUUACCUGAAGUCGUGACCCUAACCGCUUGCGGAGGGGAGCGCCUACGGUCGAACCGAUGANCUGGGGUGAAGUCGUAACAAGGUAA
rnacentral:rRNA from 1 species